rnacentral:rRNA from 1 species
GAUGAACGCUGGCGGCGUGCCUAAUACAUGCAAGUCGAGCGAACAGACGCGGAGCUUGCUCCUCUCUCGUUAGCCGCGGACGGGUGAGUAACACGUGUAUAACCUACCUAUAAGACUGGUAUAACUUCGGGAAACCGGAGCUAAUACGGGAGAAUAUAUUGAACCGCAGUGUUCAAUAGUGAAAUACGGUUUUGCUGUCUCUUAUAGAUGCAUACGGGCCGCAUGAGCUAGUUGGUACGGUAACAGCUUACCACGGCGACGAUGCGUGGCCGAACGGUGAGGGUGAUCGGCGACAUGGGAACGGGGACAGGGACCAGACUCCUAAGGGAGGCAGCAGUAGGGAACGUGACGCAGUGGGGGAAAGCAUGACGGAACAACGCCGCGUGAGUGAUGAAGGUCUUCCGAUCGUAAAACUCUGUUAUUAGGGAAGAACAAAUGUGUAAGUAACUAUGCACGUCGUGACGGUACCGAGUCAGAAAGCCACGGCUAACUACGUG